GAUGAGGUGAGGGAGCAGUGCAGCAAGGGAGCAGUGCAGCAAGAGCAUGAAGAUUACACAAAUCCCACACUGGACCUCAGUGAAGAAAUCCCCAAUGUACCUCCAAAAAAAAAGGAUUCACUUCAGCUCUCUCAAAGGUAGGGAGGCUGGAUGGACUUAAAAUAAAAAUAAUAAUUUGUGAGUGUGUGUCAAUGAGUGUGUCUGUCAGCGAGUGUUAAAUCAGUGAAU